GCCUGAGUGCCUGAGUGCUUGCCUUCACCUGGUUGCCUUUCCUCCUCUUCCAAGGUAACCACCCUUUUGAAUUUUUUAUUUCACUUCCUUUUAAAUUUUUUCUGUAGUUUUAUUGUCUAUAUGUAAUAAAAUAAUAUUCAAUAAUGCAUGUUUUAGAACCGUGUAAAAUGAUUUCAGGCUGUGUGCUCUUCUGGGACUUGCUUAUUUCCUAAACAUUGUGGCUCUAGGAUUCAUCCACGUGACUUCUCUUCUUUUUUUUACUUCUGUGUAAUAAUCUAUUGUAAGAUUGUAUCACAGUUUAUUCUCCAAUAUAUUUGGUUAAGUGCUGUUUUCCGCUGUUGUGACUGUUCAAAUUUCUUUGCCUGUCUCCCAAUGGCACAGGUGCAAGAGCUUCUUCAGCAUGUACUUUCCAGCGUGUGUCAUUCUUUAAAUGGCUGUAUUGACUGGCAUUCCCACCCGCGCUAUGUAACUGUUCCUGAUGAGCCAUAUUCUCUCCAAGAGUGGUUAUUCUUAAAUUUGGUCUUAAAGUUGUCUAGACUUCUUUUAUAUUUUGGAUAUUACCUGUGCUGUCCCUGAAACCCUCUCCCAGAUUUUGAUUUUUUUUUUUUUUGCAUUAUUGUAUAUUUUCAUGAACAGAACUUUAAAAAUAUAAUUACUGGAAGUUAUUAGAGUUAGUCCUUUUUUGUGGUGGUUUUAAGAAAUCUUUUUCUACCCCAGGUUAAUAAAGACAAUUUGCUACAUUUUCUUUUGAAAGUUGUAAGUAUAACAUUUCACAUUUAGGUUUAGAAUCCACCUGGAAUUGGUCCUGGUAGAUGGUGUGAGGUAGAUUCUACUUUAAUUGUCCCCCCACAUGGAUGGCCAGUUGUCUCAACUCUUCCCUGUUGAUCCGUGUGUGACCUCUGUCAUAACACUCAUACAUGAAGUGUUUGUAUAUUUCUGGUUCUUGACUUUCUCUUCUUUUCCUAUUGGGUGAUUUUUAUGCCUCAAGACUACACUGUCUUAUAUACUCGUAACUUCCCCGUAGGUCUUGAUAUGUGGGUGAGCAUUUCAUGUUCCUCACGUUGUAAUCCUAACUUAGCUGAUUUAAAUAUUACAUCUAUGUAGAUAGAUGGUAAGCGCUUUGUACUCUUCACUUCAACAUGUAUUACCGUAAAGAGAGUUGACUUUUCACAUUUUAAAUUUUGAGCCCAUUUGUUACAAUUAAGUCUUUCUGAGAGUAUUUUUUAUACCCUGUAUUUUUCUUUCUUUUUUUUUUUUAAGGUAACCGUACUUUUCCCAAAAUGCUAUAUUGCAAUUGGACUGGAGGCUAUAAGUGGUCUACGGCUCUGGCUCUAAGCAUCACCCUCGGUGGGUUUGGAGCAGACCGUUUCUACCUGGGCCAGUGGCGGGAAGGCCUCGGCAAGCUCUUCAGCUUCGGUGGCCUGGGAAUAUGGACGCUGAUAGACGUCCUGCUCAUUGGAGUUGGCUAUGUUGGACCAGCAGAUGGCUCUUUGUACAUUUAGCUGUGGUGUGUGCUUCAGAAAGGAGCAGGGCUUAGAAAAAGCCCUUUUGUCCGUAGGAGUUGAUGUGGUGUGAGUGAUAUAUUUCUAUGUUUUUAAUGUACAGCAUCUGUACUUUGUUUGCCUUGAUAAAGGUAAGAUAAAUGAAACGCUGAACUAUGCUAAUCUGGAAUUUGUUUUUAUUUGCCUGAAAUAUAUUUUUUUCUGUGAAAAAAUUAAAACGUACUUAAGCCAGGAGAAUGAAUUAUACAGUGAUUGAAAAUCCAUUUAAUUCCUAUGACUUUUGUUUUGUAUUGCCCAAGUCAAACUACAUCACUUGUAUCUCCAGCCCAAAUGUAGUCUGCCUUGAAAAGUCUUUCAGCUGUGACUGCAGGAAGUGGGAGUGUUUUUAUUGUUAGCUAAUUGCUGUGACUGCAGGAAGUGGGAGUGUUUCUGUUGUUGGCUAAUUGAAGUUAUUAGGCUCAGCUUCAGUCAUGUGUAAGUUUUGCAGUGUAAUACAUAUGUAGUCUGGUCUGUAUAUAUGAAAAUUUGAAUUAAACUGCAGAAUGUUUAUGUCUAGUUAUGGUUUAAAUUUUCUUAGUAGUAUAUAAAAGGUAAGAGUACUGAAAAAUUAAUAAAAUUGCAAGUUAAGAAA
rnacentral:lncRNA from 10 species